UACGUAGGGUGCGAGCGUUGUCCGGAAUUAUUGGGCGUAAAGAGCUUGUAGGCGGUUUGUCGCGUCUGCUGUGAAAUCUCAAGGCUCAACCUUGAGCUUGCAGUGGGUACGGGCAGACUAGAGUGUGGUAGGGGAGACUGGAAUUCCUGGUGUAGCGGUGAAAUGCGUAGAUAUCAGGAGGAACACCUGUGGCGAAAGCGGCUCACUGGACCAUAACUGACGCUGAUGCACGAAAGCCAGGGGAGCGAACGGG
rnacentral:rRNA from 1 species